CUGGUCUCUGGGCAUAAUAAAUUAAUAAAUAAAAAAAUCGAUUAAAGCUUCCCCUUAUGAAACCCUUACAUUCGAUCUGAAUCUUCUGGACCCUUCUUCAAUCCCUCUGUUUUCUGCCUCUCUGGAAAGUUAUAAUUGAUAUUGAUCUUCAAGUGCUCAAAACAAUGAUUUCUCAGUAUCUUUCUGCGUUUCAUCAAGAUAAUGUGAAAUCUAGUGGGGAAGAUUUGAAGAGUGCAAUAUUGCCUUUGUUGAAACUUCUCGCCCUCACAGUUAUUGGUCUGGUUCUUGCACACCCGAAAACCCAAAUCAUUCCGAAAGCUACUUUUAAGCUCCUUAGCAAGCUUGUUUUUGCACUUUUUUUGCCAUGCUUAGUAUUUAGUCAACUUGGUGAAGCAAUCACAUUAGGAAACAUUGCUCGGUGGUGGUUUAUUCCGGUUAAUGUGUUAGUUAGUACGGCUGUUGGUUGCUUCCUCGGGUACUUGGUGGUGAUUAUAUGUCGCCCACCUCCCGAGUUCAACAGAUUUACCAUUAUCAUGACUGGAUUUGGGAAUACUGGAAAUCUCCCUCUUGCUGUUGUUGGAUCUGUUUGUCAUUCGGUGGAUAACCCGUUUGGAGAACAUUGUCACUCUCGAGGUGUCGCGUAUGUUUCUUUCGCCCAGUGGGUGGCUGUGCUUCUUGUUUACACCCUUGUUUAUCACAUGAUGGAGCCUCCAUUGGAGUUUUACGAGAUCGUUGAGGAAGGAAUUGAGAUUGAGGAACAGCUUCCAUCUAACGAUAUAAGCAGGCCUCUCCUUAUAGAAGCUGAAUGGCCUGGGAUCGAGGAAAAAGAAACCGAACAUUCAAAGACACCCUUCAUUGCUAGGAUUUUCAAUAGCAUCUCGAACGCUUCACAGUCAACUAUUCCUGAUAUUGGUUUCUCACGAGAGAAUAGUGAACUGAGUCCCAGAUCUAUCCGGUGUUUGGCCGAGCCAAGAGUGGUUAGGAGGAUAAGAAUUGUUGCUGAACAAACUCCUAUAAGGCACAUACUUCAGCCUCCAACAAUUGCUUCUCUUUUAGCCAUCGUUAUAGGGAUGGUACCUCAGUUAAAGGCCCUUUUCUUUGGAGACAACGCUCCACUCGAGUUUAUCACAAGUAGUUUAGAUAUUGUAGCUGGUGCAACCGUGCCAUUCGUGAUGCUUAUCCUUGGAGGUGUGCUUGCAGAGGGUCCUAACGAGUCCAAACUUGGCCUUCGAACUACUAUUGGUAUCAGUGUGACAAGGCUCUUGUUGCUUCCUCUGUUCGGGAUUGGAAUCGUGGCAUUGGCUGAUAAACUGAACUUUCUGAUUGUGGGCGAUCAAAUGUACAGAUUCGUCCUCUUGUUGCAGUACACAACACCGAGCGCUAUUUUAUUGGGAGCAAUUGCCAGUUUGAGAGGAUAUGCAGUUAGUGAGGCUUCAGCUCUUAUCUUCUGGCAGCACUUGUUUGCUCUUCUCUCCUUCUCUUUGUAUAUUGUUGUCUACUUUAAAUUGCUUGCAUUCAUUUGAGUCUGCUUGAUCAAUGUUGCUGCCUCGAAACUUGGAUGAAAUGGUUUUCGGCUAAUAUCAGUGAGAGCCAUAUGCUUCAAAACUGUGGAGGUCCUCAUAUGGUUGGACCUUGACCUAUUGCACGUGAAAAUCAUGUGGAAAUUUGAAUGAGAAAAAGUUAUUCCUUGGCCUUCGUCGACCUCUUUCUUGCUCGGAUUCUUUGGUCUUGAAUCUUUCUAGUCAAACCUUUAAGCACCUAUGUUAUUGUUAUCCCUUUUUUUUUUUUUUUCUGAAACUUAGAGAUGAUGUUGGGUCAAUCUCAGUUCGGUACCUAAUUUUUAAAAUGUCUUUAAUUCUAAACUCUAUCCUGAUUUAUCAGUUUGUUUCAGUUUUUAGACUUAUGUUAGUUGGGUGUUAAAGGUGGACAAAGUAUGAGAGAUGUUUUGUUACAAAAGUGUUAUGUUUGUUAUCGUCACGCCCGUAACUAUGUGUUUUAUUAGGAAAGUGUUUUAUCAGGACUGUUAU